rnacentral:rRNA from 1 species
AGUGAACGCUGGCGGUAGGCCUAACACAUGCAAGUCGAGCGGCAGCACAGUAAGAGCUUGCUCUUACGGGUGGCGAGUGGCGGACGGGUGAGGAAUACAUCGGAAUCUACUUUUUCGUGGGGGAUAACGAAGGGAAACUUACGCUAAUACCGCAUACGACCUACGGGUGAAAGCAGGGGAUCUUCGGACCUUGCGCGAUUGAAUGAGCCGAUGUCGGAUUAGCUAGUUGGCGGGGUAAAGGCCCACCAAGGCGACGAUCCGUAGCUGGUCUGAGAGGAUGAUCAGCCACACUGGAACUGAGACACGGUCCAGACUCCUACGGGAGGCAGCAGUGGGGAAUAUUGGACAAUGGGCGCAAGCCUGAUCCAGCCAUACCGCGUGGGUGAAGAAGGCCUUCGGGUUGUAAAGCCCUUUUGUUGGGAAAGAAAAGCAGCAGGUUAAUACCCCGCUGUUCUGACGGUACCCAAAGAAUAAGCACCGGCUAACUUCGUG